CCUGCCUAAGCUGGAAACCUCUUAAUCCGGCCCCAAAAAAUGCCGUUCCCUGUGUUUCCUCUCCAGAGGCAACAUCCUUUUUCUCAUCCUAGGCUGCAUUUGGAGAUCCAGAUACCUGUGUAUGCACAGCCUCUGGGGUGGCAUCUCACGUGGCAGAUGAAGGUCCUGGUUGGGCCAUGGGUGCCAGGAGCCUCAGACUCCUCAGAACAGCACUGAGAAACCUCCACUGUGCCUUUGGAGGUGAGUGAGGAGACUAAACCUGGGCAGGGUGCUAACAUCUCCCCUGGGGUUCCAAUCUCUGUGCCCAGCACCAUUAAUGGCUCAUUCACUGUGACGUCUUUCCCUCUCAGUGCCUGUGCACUGUGCACUGCGGUGGGAGCAGAGACCA
rnacentral:lncRNA from 1 species